rnacentral:rRNA from 1 species
AUUGAACGCUGGCGGCAGGCCUAACACAUGCAAGUCGAACGGCAGCACAGAAGAGCUUGCUCUUUGGGUGGCGAGUGGCGGACGGGUGAGUAAUGUCUGGGAAACUGCCCGAUGGAGGGGGAUAACUACUGGAAACGGUAGCUAAUACCGCAUAACGUCGCGAGACCAAAGUGGGGGACCUUCGGGCCUCACACCAUCGGAUGUGCCCAGAUGAGAUUAACUAGUAGGUGGGGUAAUGGCUCACCUAGGCGACGAUCCCUAGCUGGUCUGAGAGCAGGACCAGCCACCCUGGAACUGAGACACGGUCCAGACUCCUACGGGAGUCAGCAGUGGGGAAUAUUGCACAAUGGGCGCAAGCCUGAUGCAGCCAUGCCGCGUGUAUGAAGAAGGCCUUCGGGUUGUAAAGUACUUUCAGCGGGGAGGAAGGCGGUGAGGUUAAUAACCUCGCCGAUUGACGUUACCCGCAGAAGAAGCACCGGCUAACUCCGUGCCAGCCGCCGCAGUAA